CACACUUCAUACCACGCUUGUAUUCGCCCCUGUACAAGCACUUAGGUGCAAGAUAAUACAAACUGUCUCCCCCCGCUGGACGUAGGGCCUUCUCUUGCCCGAACCAGGAUAAAUCUCUGUGUCUUCUUGCAUCACCAUCCGGAAAAGGGAGCACGCAUACAAAUUUACUCGUUGGUGUGACCCCCCGGGGGAAAAACACCGACAACUGUGCUGGUCCUAGGCUAGACCGUGCUAGAGACGCGAGCCUGGACACAAAGGAAAACCACAGGACACCCCCGAAAACAAGGUGGAAGAAACCUAAAAUCAAUAUGAAAAACAGCCCCUUUUUUUUCUUUUGAAUCUUUUCUCUUUUCUUUUUUUUUCUUUUUUUUUGGGCAACCUCAAAAACUGAUUAUAUGAACAAAGGAAUACAAAAGAGCAAUUCGCUACACUCUCUCUCUCUCUCUCUCUCUCUCUAGAGUAAGGCCGAACAAGUAUGGAGUUAUCUUUCUUUUUGGAUCACAGUUCAAUUCGGACUUCACAACAGAUUCGACAGAGAGAAGAUAUGGUAAUAUUCGGCUGUGUAUAGAUGGUGACAAGAACUCGAAACUCUAAAGGACUAGACACUAAGACCAGCAACUCGACACAAACCGAAGCAACGCAAAUUCAACAAGCCCUAACUAAAACGGUACUAGCCAAGGCACAAAGGUUUAAUAGGAUUAUGGAAAAACUAAUUUACUAUAUUUUUUUAGCUUUUCUGGACUAUAGGAAAUUAAUUAAAAACAGCAAAGGAUUAGAAGUCUCUCACCGAAGAACCUUGCUCUGAUACCAACUGAUGCGAACCCGCUAGGGUUUUUGGCCUGAUCUUUUGAUGAGAGACGGGGAUAACUCGAUUGGUGGAUGGAGAUGACGUUCACGGCCUGACUACAGCCCUCAAGACCGCGCCUUAGCAACCGAUACACCACGUCCAACAGCCGUCACGAUCUUGUGGAGCGCGACAACCAGCCCCUAGGGCUCCCGUCCUGCAAGCAAUCGAAGAACUAGCAAGAACGAGGAAACAAGCACUGAAUUUGCAAGAUGAAUUGAAGGUUUCAAACUGAAUCUGAAUCAACAAUGAGGUUCCGAAGACAAGGAUACGGGCGGCUGAUCCUGCACGCGCGCCUACAAGCAAGUAGCGAAGGCUAAACUUGAUCUAAACAAAACCCAGUUGUUCAUGGCAGCUCUAGAUGUAAAUAAAUAGAGGGGAGGAUGACCAAAGGGGUGCUAGAGUCGUCCUCCAACCCUAGGACGCGUCCCUAAUGGACUCAACUUGAUACAUGGGCCAUUGGUCCAAAAUAGGGUGACGCAGCACCAAAACAGAAAAAGGUGUCGGCACGAAAACAAGGACUGCGCCCGACUCAUAAGCUGCA
rnacentral:lncRNA from 1 species